GCUGCGAUGGCCGAGUGGUUAAGGCGUUGGACUCGAAAUACAAUGGGAUAUUCCCGCGCUGGUUCGAAUCCUGUUCGCAGCG
rnacentral:tRNA from 1 species